CCUUGGGAAAUGUUGCAAUCGCCAUCAAAGCUUGGGUCUUCUUUCCAUUCUCUCCAGCGUAGUGAGAGGCUCGUGAAGGGAGUGUGACAUCAGUGCACAAUGACUCCUAUACAAGUCGCAGGAAAGCCAGCAUAUGAGGAAGGUCUCAACCGUAUCCAUGGAUGAGCCGGUGCAGGAGGAUAGAGGCCCCGCCCGCCACCGCGGCACGUCGGCCGGCGGGCACAAGGUUCGGCAGGUGUUGGCCAACGGCUGCAUGCUACUGGCCGGUGUCGGCGGCGGCACGCUGCUGGCGUGGUGGGCUCUCUCCUUCCACCAGUCUAACGAGCAGCUAUGGAUGGUGCCUGUGGGCCUCGUCCUCGCGGGUACGCCGGUCGUCGCGUGGCUGUCCAUCUUCGCUUCGGGCAUCUGCCGAAGUCUUCAGCUGCAAUUCGCUGCUGCACCGCCUGCGUCUUCCGGACCAGAAGAGAUGAUCAGAGGAGAGGGAAUGCAGGAGUUCCCUAUUCUUUGAUAUCUACUAUUAUUUUCUGUUCCUUUUCUUUUGUUUUACUUGUUUUAUUUGACAAAUUAUUCGAAUCAGAUCGGUUGAUAUGUUGAAAUUAUUGGAUGAAAGAAGAUUUUGGCAUCUUAAAAAAAUGCAUGAAUAUUUCAGAAAAACAAAGAAUAUCUCGAUAGUUUUAUGAAUGUAUUGUACUCUCACCUUCUAUAAGCAGAUGAGAAGAGGUUUUACAACCAUGAAAAUUCGAAGUCAAC